UUUUAUGGCGGUUGUGCGCGGGACACCUUCGGGUGUGCCGGUCUUUUGCUUGUCUUUACCUCCGGUCGAUCAACCCGCGUGCAACUGCCACCUUU
rnacentral:antisense_RNA from 1 species